UGCAGCAAAUAGUGUCAAUAUGGCAGUGGCAGCUUGUGGGGCAGCAGAAUGACACAAAACUCGUCCUUUUAGGCGCCGCACAGUCUCUCUUACUCUGUCCAAAGAAGCCAACUGGCCUCUUUCAGGUCUCUGAGUCAAUGGAUAAGCUGUAGAGAGAGCUGCAACGUUGCGGAUGGAUGAAAGGUGUCUCGAGACCACCGGGGCCUCGACCGGCUCCGGCGACGCUCUCCAUGGGCUUAAGUUUGGGCAAAAGAUCUACUUUGAGGAUGGCGGUGGCGGCGGUGGGAGUGGGAGUGGAAGCUCCUCCAAGCCGCCUCUGGCUCCGAUCAAGGAGGGCGCGGCGCCAUCGCCGCCGGGGAAGAAGGGGAAGGGGGUGGCGCAGGGGGGCCAGCAGCAACCGCCUAGGUGCCAGGUGGAAGGGUGCAAUGCCGAUCUGACGGGGGUUAAGGCUUACUAUUGUAGGCACAAAGUUUGUGGGAUGCAUUCGAAGGCACCCAAGGUGAUUGUUGCAGGCUUGGAGCAGAGGUUCUGUCAGCAGUGUAGCAGGUUUCAUCUAUUACCUGAAUUUGACCAAGGAAAGCGCAGUUGUCGUAGACGACUUGCUGGACAUAAUGAACGUCGCAGGAAGCCGCCUCCUGGGACAUUUGCAUCAUGCUAUGGCCGGUUUGCAUCAUCCUUUCAUGGUCAGAAGCUUCUUACUGUAUCUGCAUUUACAUUUCCCUCCUUGCAGCUUUCUGAUACACUGCCAUUUGUAUGCUUUGUCCUCAGAAGAACCUGGUAGAUUCAAAAGCUUUCUGGUGGACUUCAGUCACCCAAAGUUCUCAAGUAGUGCAAGAGAUGUUUGGCCAACUGCUAGUGCUGGUGAUCGGGUGGUUACCGAUGAAUGGCAUGGGGUCUUAGAUGCUCCAACCCAUGCGGCUCUCUUACAUGGUACGCGUCCCUGUUAUCAGGGUCCUCUGGCAGGGAACUUCUGCUCCCCUGUGGAACUUCCACCUGGUGAAGUUCUUGCAGGGGUCUCUGACUCGAGCUGUGCUCUCUCUCUUCUGUCAACUCAUUCGUGGAGCAGCAACUCUGCCAGAAACCUUUCAGUAAACCCAGCAAACAGCACUUUUGUUGUGCCCCCUCCAUCAACCCGUUCAGUCAUCCCUGGUAAUUCCACUACCACUUCGUGGGGGCUAAGAAGUCAUGGAGGCAGGACUAUCCCACAUGAAAUCCAACAUGAAAUGGGAUUAGCAGAAGAAACUGAGGCUAGCGAUGCUCAUUUUUCUCAUCAGGUAGGUUUUGCUCCGCAUGAAAAUGGGCAGUGCCUUGACCAUGGCUCAGGUAGGGCAUGUGACCAUUCGGUUCCCGGCAUACAUUGGUCUCUCUAGACCUUAUGAUCAAUUGACUGUGAUGAAUCGAAACUUUGUGCAUGGUGAUUCUGUUUCCAAAAAUUUUAUGGAUCUUAAAUCUUUUGUCCAUCUAUAUGAAACCUAUGCUGCCAGGAAGCAUUAGUAAUGUUGUGAUGUCAUUUAGCUCA